GUACAUAUGUGGUUGCACAUAUAGUAAAAUUGGAACAAUGCAGAGAUAAGCACUGCUCUUGAGCAGGGAUGACAUGAAGAUUUGCGAAGCAUUCCAUAUCGGA